rnacentral:lncRNA from 1 species
UAAAAUUGAGCCAGGUUUAAACAAUAGCGAAACACCGUUCCAAUUAUAUUACCAAAAAUUACCUGCAGAAGCAUUUCUAUGCUGCAACCGAACAACCUUGACAGCAUAUACAGGCCGCCACAAUUCCAAGCAUAGCUCCAGCAAAGACAUGUGAUGGCGUUUAGCCAGAAAGUUCCUUAAGUUUUAUGACUCGAUUCCAACAUAAGUUAGUAACCACAAAGAGAUCAAAUGACAGUUCUCAAGGCAAGCUACUAGAGUUUUGGGGGGUGUUGCAUAUAAUUAUGGGAGGAACUUACAUUCAAGUUAAGGUCAUAUUUGUAUCGAGCGAAAAAAAGAAAGAAGAAAUUAGGAACCCAUAUGUGGGAAUAGGGCAACUGCAGAUGUAGACCUGAGAAAAACAACCAUACAUAGACGUUUCAAUAUUAAUGCGGAGACGUCCAUAUUGUUUGUAUGGAAAAUUAAUAUUUUGCAGAUAGAUUAUGCUGGUGCAGAACUUCUUCAAUUGUUGGGGAUGUAAGUCUGAAUAAUUGAACCAAACAUGAAAAUAAAGCUUGAACACAAAAACUGAUCAAUAUGACAAAACACCAAGUCAUAUAUCAAGCCAUUGUUAGUCUUUUUUAUUAGUUCCCAUUGUAAAUGUUGUGCGCAAAAAUAAUUAUGAACAAAUAAACCUCAAGAAUAUAAUGAAACCAAAUGAUUGUUUACAUUUUGUACAGACAAAAACAAUUCACUGAGCACUAAGCCAUGUUUAACAGAAUAUAAAUUUCUAUAAAAGAAUUCUGAAGUAAUUCUUUAUAAAAUAAUUUAUGAACAUCAAAAGAUGGAGAAAGAACAAAACGGAACUUUGUUUCAAAGCUUUUGAUAUGUCAUUCCAAAUAAAAUCUGAAUUUUAUCUAUAACAAAUUUCAUGUUUGUUCAUAUAGAUACAAACAUCUCCUAGCAAUAGACAUACCAUUCAAAAAAGUAUCUAUCUAGAUUGUCACAACUCUUGAUUAGUAACAAAUAACCAAGAGAUGUAAAAUUUAAUAACUAAGAGACUUAAUUUAUCACUUAUAACUCUUCACUGCUAAAUUUUGGAUUACUUAUAACAUUUCCCUUGUAACUAUUGGAACAUUAAAUACUUUGAAAUUGCUAACAGAUUAUGACCAUUUUAAGUUGAAGCAGGAAUCAAUGGCCACCAUAUUUAAUUCAAUGAUUCCGAUUCAAAUAGUAGCUGAAAAGUUGUUAAAAAUGUGUCCUUGAAAAUUAGCCACAUCACCUGUCCUGUGAUUUACCUAAAUGAGAAUGAAACCUCAUUAUUUGAUAAGGCAGGAAAGUUUCUAGAUUCCUAAAUUAGCGUCAAGUUGGACUUGUGUUACAAGUAGGAAAGUUACUGAAACAAGAACAAAAGUUCAGCAUCUUCUGGUGAGAGUACAAUAAACACAUCAAGCCAUAAAAUUGAGCCAGGUUUUUACAAUAGUAAAACACUGUCCAAAUGAUAUGACAAAAAAUUUACCUCUAUAAGCAUUUCUAGGUUGUAGUCAAGCAACCUUGGCAGCAUAUACAAGCUACCACAAUCCCAAGCAUAGCUCCAGCAAAGACCUGUGACGGUGUGUGGCCAAGAAGUUCCUUGAGUUUUCUUUGACUAAUUGGAUGCCCUUGAAAUAGGUCCUCAACGAUCAUAUUUAGAACCUACAACCGGGAAGAAAAAAUUAUUCCAUGAUCCCAACACAUGUUAGUACCAACAAAGAGAA